rnacentral:lncRNA from 1 species
GGUUUUCAUGUUAUAUUUGUUAUUCUCGUGGUGUUUUGUCUGAUGAUUGGUCAGUUUCUGUGUGUGUUGCGUUUCGGUGUUGUGUCGUUGUUCUCCUCUUAUAUUUAAUGCGUUUCGCUCGGUUUUGGUUUGUUACCCCGAUUUUGUUUUUUGUCCAUGGAUUUAUGAGUUUUGAACAGCGGUAUACUACUGUUGCCUUUAUUUAAUGGUUGUUAUUUGUUAUUUUU